rnacentral:rRNA from 1 species
UACGAAGGGGGCUAGCGUUGUUCGGAAUUACUGGGCGUAAAGCGCGCGCAGGCGGCCUUUCAAGUCAGGGGUGAAAGCCCAGAGCUCAACUCUGGAACUGCCCUUGAAACUGCAAGGCUGGAGUACGGUAGAGGUGAGUGGAAUUCCCAGUGUAGAGGUGAAAUUCGUAGAUAUUGGGAAGAACACCGGUGGCGAAGGCGGCUCACUGGACCGUUUCUGACGCUCAUGCGCGACAGCGUGGGGAUCAAACAGGAUUAGAUACCCUGGUAGUCCACGCCGUAAACUAUGGACGCUAGCCGUUGGCAGGCUUGCCUGUCAGUGGCGCAGCUAACGCAUUAAGCGUCCCGCCUGGGGAGUACGGCCGCAAGGUUGAA